CCUACGGGAGGCAGCAGUGAGGAAUAUUGGUCAAUGGACGCAAGUCUGAACCAGCCAUGCCGCGUGCAGGAAGACGGCUCUAUGAGUUGUAAACUGCUUUUGUACGAGGGUAAACGCAGAUACGCGUAUAUGUCUGAAAGUAUCGUACGAAUAAGGAUCGGCUAACUCCGUGCCAGCAGCGGCGGGAAUACGGAGGAUGAGAGCGUUAUCCGGAUUUAUUGGGUUUAAAGGGUGCUUAGGCGGGUUAUCAAGUAAGCGGUAAAAUCGUGGAGCUCAACUCCAUCCCGCCGUUGAGACUGAUGGUCAUGAGUGGGCGAGAAGUAUGCGGAAUGCGUGGUGUAGCGGUGAAAUGCAUAGAUAUCACGCAGAACUCCGAUUGCGAAGGCAGCAUACCGGCGCCCGACUGACGCUGAAGCACGAAAGCGUGGGUAUCGAACAGGAUUAGAUACCUGAGUAGUC
rnacentral:rRNA from 1 species